rnacentral:rRNA from 1 species
GACGAACGUUUGCGGCGUGCUUAACACAUGCAAGUCGAACGGAAAGGCCCUGCUUUUGUGGGGUGCUCGAGUGGCGGACGGGUGAGUAACACGUGAGUAACCUGCCCUUGACUUUGGGAUAACUUCAGGAAACUGGGGCUAAUACCGGAUAGGAGCUCCUGCUGCAUGGUGGGGGUUGGAAAGUUUCGGCGGUUGGGGAUGGACUCGCGGCUUAUCAGCUUGUUGGUGGGGUAGUGGCUUACCAAGGCUUUGACGGGUAGCCGGCCUGAGAGGGUGACCGGCCACAUUGGGACUGAGAUACGGCCCAGACUCCUACGGGAGGCAGCAGUGGGGAAUAUUGCACAAUGGGCGGAAGCCUGAUGCAGCAACGCCGCGUGCGGGAUGACGGCCUUCGGGUUGUAAACCGCUUUCGCCUGUGACGAAGCGUGAGUGACGGUAAUGGGUAAAGAAGCACCGGCUAACUACGUGCCAGCAGCCGCGGUGAUACGUAGGGUGCGAGCGUUGUCCGGAUUUAUUGGGCGUAAAGGGCUCGUAGGUGGUUGAUCGCGUCGGAAGUGUAAUCUUGGGGCUUAACCCUGAGCGUGCUUUCGAUACGGGUUGACUUGAGGAAGGUAGGGGAGAAUGGAAUUCCUGGUGGAGCGGUGGAAUGCGCAGAUAUCAGGAGGAACACCAGUGGCGAAGGCGGUUCUCUGGGCCUUUCCUGACGCUGAGGAGCGAAAGCGUGGGGAGCGAACAGGCUUAGAUACCCUGGUAGUCCACGCCGUAAACGAUGAGUGCUAAGUGUUAGGGGGUUUCCGCCCCUUAGUGCUGCAGCUAACGCAUUAAGCACUCCGCCUGGGGAGUACGACCGCAAGGUUGAAACUCAAAGGAAUUGACGGGGACCCGCACAAGCGGUGGAGCAUGUGGUUUAAUUCGAAGCAACGCGAAGAACCUUACCAAAUCUUGACAUCCUCUGAUCCCUCUAGAGAUAGAGGUUUCCCCUUCGGGGGACAGAGUGACAGGUGGUGCAUGGUUGUCGUCAGCUCGUGUCGUGAGAUGUUGGGUUAAGUCCCGCAACGAGCGCAACCCUUAAGCUUAGUUGCCAUCAUUAAGUUGGGCACUCUAAGUUGACUGCCGGUGACAAACCGGAGGAAGGUGGGGAUGACGUCAAAUCAUCAUGCCCCUUAUGAUUUGGGCUACACACGUGCUACAAUGGACAAUACAAAGGGCAGCGAAACCGCGAGGUCAAGCAAAAACCAUAAAGUUGUUCUCAGUUCGGAUUGUAGUCUGCAACUCGACUAUAUGAAGCUGGAAUCGCUCGUAUCGAAAAUCAGCCUGGCUACAGUGNNUNCGUUCCCGGGUCU